GAAUAAGAAGUAAAUUAUUACAUUCAGUUUCGACCUGAAAACCUGGUAUUAUACACCCUUAUUCU
rnacentral:tRNA from 2 species